GGUGCGUAGGUGGUGUUUGUAGGCAAAUCCGCAGACACAACGCUGAGACACGAGACGAACACACUACGGUGUGGAAGCCAUUGAUGCCCUGCUUCCAGGAAAAGCCUCUAAGCUUCAGAUUACAAGUCAUCGUACCCCAAACCGACACAGGUGGUCAGGUAGAGAAUACCAAGGCGCUUGAGAGAACUCGGGUGAAGGAACUAGGCAAAAUAGAACCGUAACUUCGGGAGAAGGUUCGCUCCUGACAGUGAAGUCCCUUGCGGAUGGAGCAGUCGGGAGUCGCAG
rnacentral:rRNA from 1 species